GAUGAACGCUGGCGGCGUGCUUAACACAUGCAAGUCGAACGGAAAGGCUCCUGCUUGCAGGGGUACUCGAGUGGCGAACGGGUGAGUAACACGUGGGUGAUCUGCCCUGUACUUCGGGAUAAGCUUGGGAAACUGGGUCUAAUACCGGAUAGGACAACUUUUUGGAUAUUGUUGUGGAAAGCUUUUGCGGUAUGGGAUGAGCUCGCGGCCUAUCAGCUUGUUGGUGGGGUAGUGGCCUACCAAGGCGUCGACGGGUAGCCGGCCUGAGAGGGUGUACGGCCACAUUGGGACGGAGAUACGGCCCAGACUCCUACGGGAGGCAGCAGUGGGGAAUAUUGCACAAUGGGCGCAAGCCUGAUGCAGCGACGCCGCGUGGGGGAUGAAGGCCUUCGGGUUGUAAACUCCUUUCGCUAGGGACGAAGCUUUUUUGUGACGGUACCUGGAGAAGAAGCACCGGCUAACUACGUG
rnacentral:rRNA from 1 species